GAGAUAUAAUAGAUGCCCCCCAUAGGGGGACUCACAGCGAUUCUAGCUUCUGAACCAUCAGAUCUUCCUCACGAUGAAUCUCGGCCGUUCGUUUUCUUACCGUGUCAUAUAAAAGGGAGCAGCUCCCGGUGAAAACCCUAGCCGCACCCGUGCCCCUCCGUUUCUCCUCUUCAUAGCGUUCCUCGCUGGCGGCUGCCGAGCCUCCGCCUCGUUCCUCCUCUUCACCGCGCCUCCGCCUCCCACCUCUCUCCUCCGGUUCCCCCCUCUCCCUUGUCUCUCUCUGAUGGCGCCAGGCUGCCUCUGCUUGUCUCCCCCAAUCCCUGCCUCGUCUCUGUCCCUCUCCCCUACCCAAUCCCCUCCCGUGUUCGCCUCCCCAAUCCUCUCCCUUCACUCCAUCUCCCGGCGAGCCGCCUCCAGUCGCGCCCUCGCGCUAAAGCGCCUCGCGCUCGUGCGCCUCUCGCCCUCCUUCUCGCACACGCCUUCCCUUGGCAUCGGAGGGCAUGUGAGCACGCGAGCAGCAGCGGGGCACCAUGGCCUGGCGGCUGAUGCGGGAUGGAGGAGAAGCAGGCGGAGGAGGUGAAGCAGCAUAUGGAGGAAGAGGUGAACCGGAAGAGGAGGCAGAGCUCGCUGUGGAGGAGCUCGCAGGGAGCUGUAGACAAGAAUCAGCUUCCAUCCCGGUCCUCUCAGCCGACGGUCGUCCUGGCUCUUCCCCUUGGCAUAGACAGAGCGGUUCACCGCCGCAAAAAUCUAGGUGGGGGGCGGGCCACUGAUAGAGCUGCUGCUACUCUCUGCCUUUUCCUCUUCGCGGGAGGCGAGAGGAGCCACAGCUGGCUGUACGCCUGCCAGACGAGCUGGUGGUGUCCGGCCGGCCGGAGCAGCACAGGCUGUCGCUUGCAGUGCCGGCGCUUGGAGGAGUGGCUGGUGAGCUCCAUCCACCCUACAGGUGUCCUAUUUUUCUGUAUUUUCCUUGCAGCAAUAGAACCGUCACACUGGAGUUUGUUUGUUCUCUAUGCCAAGGUAUACCAGCUCAUCCUCUACAUUCAUUUCCGUCUGGUUUGGUUGAUUUUCCCUGAAAUUGUUUGUGUGGACAACACGCUCUAUUAUGUGUGAGAGCUACUGAUCCUUAAUGUAUACAUAAACAUGCAUGAAUCUGCUGCUAAUUUGAUACUCAAAGUUGCAUAUGCCAAAGUAUAUCUACAGAAUAAUUUUCCAGAUUUAUAAAUUGCACACUCACACCCGUAAAAAACAGAGUAGCAAGAUCGACAGUGUAACUAUGUAAAUCUCAAUUUAUGUGGACAGUACAUUUACGAUUAUGAUAUCGCCCAUCAACUACAAAAUAGCUAUUCCCUGCUUUUAAUCGCUAUUUGUUCUAGGUAGAAUCUCUAUUUUGUAGGAUGUAAAAGCAGAGUAGCAAGAUCGACAGUGCAACGAUGUAAAUCUGAAUUUAUGUGGACAGUACAUUUACGAUUAUGAUAUCGCCCAUCGACUUAUUUUUCUAGCUAUAGAAUAGCUAUUUUGUAAAUCUCAAGAUAUCCGGUGGCAUACCAUAGGAUGUCGCGGCAGAAUAUCUUGUGGCAGAUCUGCACCACACUUCAGUUCUCCGUCAAUUGUGUCCAUACCAUCCACCAUAUCAAUAUGGGAAUACCGCUGUAUGGUGUCAGCUCCUGGAAUUCCGCCGUCCCAAGGAUCUUUCAUGGUGACCAGAUGCCUUACUCGAGAGUUCAGUGCCAUCCAUCCAAUGCUCCAAGAAGAACUACCCCAAGUUCAUCGCAAAGGUACUGAACUGAAUGAGGAUGACUGCAGUCGAAGUUUCAACCGUGCCUUGAGUUUGUCGGCGGUUGUCCUGCUCACUCGCAUCCUGGCUUCUGACGAGCAUUACUCAAUCCUAUUCUUCAUAUAGCACAACUGCCGAUAGGUGGAGCGUGUUGUACUGCUCCUUGCUUGAUUCCAGGUUGCUCCUUGUCAUGUUAAAAAAAAAAGGUUGCUCCUUGUCACUCUCAUCCCUGGAUUCAUUUUUCUAUGAGAUUUAGGGGCCAGGGUCAUGCUGGUUAAGAGUAUUGGGCACAAUUAAUUGGAAAUUGGUUUUGUAUGCAAAAUUCGAGGUUGGGUUAAUGCUGACACUGGUUCUUUCAGGUUUGUAUGUGCCGCAAGCUCCGGUACCAGCUGUUUGUUCAAUUUUCAUGUAUGUCUUUUGCCAAAGCAAUAGGAGAAAGGAAUCAAUUUGUCCUUUUUAGCUUGGUUCUGAGUUACUCUUUGUUUGGGCCAAUAUGUUUUGUGUGGUUCCAACUAUUAGAUUGCAUCUUGGACAUACACAAAAAUUCAUUUAAUAUACGUAUAUGUUCUGAUUCUAAAAAUCAACUAUUAGGUAUCAAAUGUGUAUGCUCUGCAACACAAUUUAUACAACAACUUGAUCAUACAAGGCAGUAGUGCAUAGAACAAUUUAUAACUAAGAGAUACUUUUUUUGUUGUAUGUGGCACUUUGGCCUGUCAUGUAGAAGUAGUAGCUUAUUCUACAUGAAGAUAACAAUGUCACCUCUUUUUCAGUAGUACUUUGGCCUGGCAACCUCCAAUAACUCUUACUUCUUACAUUUACUUGCAACAGUGCUCAUGCUUUUUCCUAUGUCGUACUACUAAAUUUUGCUGUGUUGAACAAAAUAUGGCAACUACGUUCAUAGAUAGUUGAUGCCUUGAUGGUACACUGGUUGUUCCCAAAGUGUAUAUGCCUUCUAAUCUGAAUCCAGUGUGUGAUGUGAAUAUUUAUAGAUGCUCCGUAUAUAGAAUGUCAUGGAUGAAUUGAUAAUAGAUUAUAUCACACUGGAGAUGACUAACUCAACUAUAUUUAGCCGCAAGGCAAAGGAAUCCAACAGGUAGAAAAAAAACAUAUUGCCAUGUGUAUUGUUAUUUUUUAUUGGAUUCUUACAGAUGUAGUUUACAUAUCGGUUAUUGGAUGAUGUCGAUAGUUUUCAUGUGCACUAGACUUUUAAUUCUUAGCCGAGUUCAGUUAACUACCAAAAUAAUUAUAUUUACCUGCAUUUUCUGUGUCUUCUUAUCUUCGAAGUGCUAUUCCUAAUUUGAAUAGAUUGAUGCUUAACAUAGUUUUAUACUAACUGUUUACACGUGCAAAAGGCAGGUGAUUCGCGGCAAGACGCGCCCCAAAAGCUUUUUUAAAAAACAAGUUUGUAUCUUCAUGGGAAUACUACGCAGUUUUAGGAAUAAAUCACAAGACAAAUAAAUGAGUAAUCUGUUAGAUGUUUCUUCUGCAGUAGUCUUGAAACUUCUAACAAGAUUCAACAAGCAUGUACAUGCUAAACUAGAAAUUAGCUAUAUAAUUACUUUGUUAUGCAUACCUACUCUGUGGUAGUCUCAUUUUGGAAAAAAAAUUAAAAAUUGAGAUGUGCGUAAUUACUCGCUAUAGCCCAUGACCCACUGAUGUUGAGAGAGAGAGAGAGAGAGAGAGAUGUUAUGCAGACCACAUGGAUAAGGUUGUAGAGUAGGACUAUAUCUCAUGGGUUCUUCCUUAUUUUUCACUAUUUGAUAGUGUUUUCCCUGCUUAUUAAAUAGAUAUUACACAUCCAACUCCUGAUCUCACGGGAUACAUUACUGAAGGACAGAUAUACAUUUACAGACAGCUCCAUAACAGAUGGGUGCUUUUGUUUGUUCUCUUGUUAGUUAGCAAAGGCCACCUCAUCAAAUAGUAAUUUACUAAUAUGCAAUUUUGAGCAUAUAUCUACUAGCGCUCCCAAAUAGCUAAGAGUGAAUUUCCAAUUCAGUGUAGCAUGUGUUUUGAAUUUCACUAAUAUUGGCUGGUGACUAGGUCGGGUGGAUUGAGAAUCCCAAUAAUAAGUUCCAUUCAGAAAAUGUCAGCUUUGUCAAAAUGGCAUUUUCUUAUAAAAAACACUACCGACUCCAUUAUCAUUAUGCUUCAGUUAUGUGCCUCCAUGGUUUCAAGAAAUAAGUUUUGUGCUUCAGAUAAACUAAUGCUAUCAUAUCUCAUGUGUGUCUUAUUGAAAAUAACAAUGAGAGUUGGCAAAGGUUAAUAUAAUUGUUCCUGAACCUCAAGGGACAACAUUAAGAUUUGUAUCUAAUAACUGGUUGAUAUUUAGAUGGAUGACUAUUGUGAAAUGUACCUAAUAUUUUCCAAGUUCCUUUUCUCCAUUUUCUCAAGCUGCAACAAAAUGUUGAUAUUUAUACUAGGAAGAGUGCUUCUAUUUUUUUCAUCAUUACGUCCAUCCGUGCACCAAAAGAAUGCUAUUGGUUCUCUGUUCUUGGACAAGCGGUAGAAGAAAGUGAAACGAGAAUUGCCAUUUUAUUCUUUGACCGCAGAAUACCUGUAGUUUGCUUCUGUAAGAUUUUGAAAUGUUUGUACUAUUAUUUUUAUAAGUUUUAAUUGUAGUUAUAUUUUAUUGUACUUUUUUUACCUUUCCCUUCAAUAACUGGUAAAAUCUUAAGUGGAGAAAUUUCGUAUAGAGAGGAACGGAAGAACUUCCUUACUCGAAUCAACAUGGAUGAAAAUGCAGUGUCUGAACUUUUUUAGCAGUGCAAAUGACAUACUAGAAAUGUGCCCUUGGGAAUCUUAUUGUGGGCAGACAGGUUUGCUGAAAUUUGGAAUUAUGUUCUUCCAUGUGUACAUUCAUUUUGGAAAUACUUUUCCUAUGUAUGUAUCCAUAUUUUGUAAUUGUUCCUCUGCAGUUCGUGGGAUGAUGUAUUAUAGGAAGGCCCUUAUAUUGCAAAGUUCUGGAGAGAAUGCAUUCUGAAGAUAUUUCUACUAGCUUCCUUGUGGGACACAUAAAUUAUAUAUUUUAACAACGUGCAUGUAACAUUAUUUUCUGAUGUUUUUCUUUGCUACACCACGAAUCUGCAUUUGAUAUGGCUGGUCUGGCUGACACACAUUUUGAGUACACCCCAGAAGCACAAGCACAUGGUGAUUUGAAGUUUACGGAUAUGUUGUGGUUAUUUGCCAAAUUUAUGGAUUACACGAAGGGGAAGGGAAACAAGAAGCUGCUAAUAUAGCCCUUCUAAUGCAAAGAAAUGAAGCUCUCAGGAUUGCUUAUAUUGAUGUUUUCGAGAUCAUAAAAAAUGGAAAUCCUAGCACUGAGUAUUACUCGAAGCUUGUUAAAGCUGGCAUCCAUGGAAAGGACAAGAUCUUACGCCUGAUAUUAUUUCCUCACGCCAAAUUUCACGUUUACCCAGCGAUAGUACAUGGAAUUGUGCCAGAAAAAGAUAUUAAAUGAGUACUACUAUGCUUGUGUCAAAAAGAAGCAAGACUGGUGAAUGUCUCUGCAACAAGUGACCGAAUAAUGAAGUAAAACUAAGCAGCUUAGCAAGAGCUGGAUUACUUGGUACAUGAUGUGUCACGACCUUCCAAUCAGAUUAUUAACAAUAUAAUUCAAGAAACGGAUCGCAUGGAGAGUCUGACUUCGAUAGUAAUGUCAAUUCAAUUCUGGUUGAAGUAGACAAAGCUUCUUCUGACCUUGAGCAGUUCACCUUUCAAGCAACCCAAUUUAUGUGUGUAAACCUUAUGUAUAUAGAUACAUGUGUUCUACUUUAGAACCAAAUAGUAUAUGUAUAUACAUGUGUUUCCCCACUUGCUCCGCAUCUACUUAACAAGUGACUACUCAUAGAACUGCUCGGCUUUUGUCUACCAAGCUUUCGUCUACUUUGCUC